UUUGCCUAGAGGGAAUUCGAUGGGGGAAGAUUAUUUCUCUCAUAGGAAAGUCCGGACACCGUAGAGCAGGAUUCCGCAUGAAAGUGCGGGGGCCAUCGCUGAAGUGAUGGUCACGGAAAGUACAACAGAAAGGAUACCGCCGCAAGGUAAGGGUGAAAAGGGGAGGUAAGAGCUCACCGGACACGCAGUAAUGGGUGUUGCCAUGGAAACCCAAUUCGGUGCAAGACAGAAUAAGGAACGGGGUUGCUCGCCCAAUGGUUCCGGGUUUGUCGCAUCCCGUCUAGGGAAACAGUAUAAACUGUUAGAGAAAUGAAUUCCGGGCCGCAAGGCUUACAGAAUCCGGCUUAUAUCUAGGCAAAACAU
rnacentral:RNase_P_RNA from 1 species